ACAAGUACCGUGAGGGAAAGUUGAAAAGCACUUUGAAGAGAGAGUUAAAGAGGACGUGAAACCGAUGAGAUGGAAACGGACAGAGCCAGCGUAUCUGGCCUGCAUUCAGCCCUGCAGCUGCUGUCGAUGAAUCGCUGCUCUCCAGAUUGGGACUGUUGACUAGUCGAAUGGUGGUUGUGUGGUGCAUUUGCAGGUGGAGUGCGUCGAGGCGUCCGGGGUGGUGGCAUGAAUUUGUGCUUUGAGGCCAGCCUAGCUGGUACCCAGGCCGGGGGAUUGCUGUUCGCCGUGGGCGUUUUGUUGAGGCGGAUGAGGGCAACGGGCCUAGUUAUGAUCGAAAAGGCUGUCGGUGGCGGUCGCUUGCGACACGUGCUGUGCAGUCGGUUCGGUGUUGGCUGGUGCUCUCCAAGUCCAAUCUCGGCGUAAAAGCUGGUCAUCUUUCCGACCCGUCUUGAAACACGGACCAAGGAGUUUAUCGUGUGCGCGAGUCAUUGGGCGUUGAAAACCCAAAGGCGCAAUGAAAGUGAACGUAUCCGCUAGGAGCCAACGUGCGAUCCUGGACACCACGGUGGACGGGCGCAGCAUGGCCCCAUCCUGACUGCUUGCAGUGGGGUGGAGGAAGAGCGUACGCGGUGAGACCCGAAAGAUGGUGAACUAUUCCUGAGCAGGAUGAAGCCAGAGGAAACUCUGGUGGAAGUCCGAAGCGAUUCUGACGUGCAAAUCGAUCGUCUGACUUGGGUAUAGGGGCGAAAGACUAUUCGAACCAUCUAGUAGCUGGUUCCUUCCGA
rnacentral:rRNA from 1 species